GCAUGCAUGAUGGGGAGGAGCAGAGAGAGAGAGAAGGUUCAUGCGGCUCUGUCAGUACAGAGUCCGACUUGCGGCUCAAACACAGGGAACUGUGAGAUCAUGACCUGAGCCGAAAUCAAGAGUUGGACGCCCAACCAACCGAGCCACCCAGGCGCCCCAAAACCAUACUCUUUAGAUGGUAAAAGGACAAAGAGAAACAAUGCUCACAUUCCCAUGAAGUGGAGGAGAGAGGCUGUGCGCAGCCAUGGGAGCACCAGUCCACAGGCCGUGAAAAGAACAAGUGCACAGGCCCUAAGUCUGGAAUGUGCUUGGCGGGACUGCAGAACAAGGAGGCCAGCGUUAUCCAGUCAGAGUGCAACAAGGGGAGAGGACGAGCACACGAGACGAGAGGUAACCAAGGACCGACCACGGAAGUCCCACACGCCCAGGCGAGGGACUUUGGAUUUUAUUCCGAGAGUGACAAGAGGCCGCUGGAAGCCUGAGAGCAGGAAGUGCUAUGAUUCGAUUUAUAGUUUGGAAGAAAGAGACCGACUGUUCUAUGGAGAAGGGAAGUAGGGAAGCCGAAGCAGGGAUUCCUGUUACUGUGGUGUCUGGGCACAAGAUAAAGGUGGCAUGGACCAGGGCGGGGGUGAUGGGGGCAUGCAGGGUGUCAGAGUCAGAGCUGGUAGAUUUUAUAGGGAGAACCCAGACCGGAUUUGUGGAUGGAUUUGUGGAUGGACUGCAUGGAGAGUAAGCAGAAAAGGUCAAUAAUGUGUAUGAUAUAUAUUUUUUUAAUUAGGAUACACAAUUCUAUAGACGGUAUGGUCAAAACUCUUCAAAAUGUGUUCUUGGGGCACCUGGCUGGCUCCGUUGGUGGGGCAUGCGACACUUGAUCUCUGGGUUGUGAAUUCUGGCCCCAUGUUGGGUGUAGAGAGUCCUUAAAAAUAAAAUCUUUAGGGGCGCCUGAGUGGUUCAGCCGGCCAAGUGUCCGACUCUAGGUUUUAGCUCAGGUGAUGAUCUCACGGUUUGUGGGUUUGAGCCCUGCCUUGGGCUCUGUGCUGAUGGCACGGAGCGUGCUUGGGAUUCUGUCCCUCCAUCUCUGCCUCUCCCCUGCUCAUGCGCACUCUCAUUCUCAAAAUAAAUAAAUAAACAUUAAAAAAAUUAAAAUAAAAUAAGAUCUUAAAAAAAAACCAUAUGUGUUCUUAAAAGUAUUUCUGUAAUGAGAAAUUCAAGUAUAGAGAAGUAGAAGAAAUCCAGUUGGGGAGACAGAAUAUUUCCAUUGAUGGAUGGGGGACACCAUUUAAAAAGUUGAUGCUAAUUGCACAUAGUGCAAAUGGCCACAGGAGAUAAGAAAAGAAAGAGACACCGAGGCCUGGAGAAGGCAGGAAAGUGUUUCCUGGGGAGGCAGGAGUUGACAUGGGAGUUGAAAGAGGGGGCAUGUUAAGAGCUGAGACUCCAGGCCCAGGACGGGUUGAUAGAGUUGGGGACAUUUGACAUAAGUCCCAGGACUGCCAGGUACCACCUGGAUUAAUGUGAAAGUUAGAUAAAACGUCUGUAAUCCACCUAUCAGAUGCUCAAUAAACAGUAGCUACUAAGGACAGUGCUUUUUCAAUAUUCAGAUUUUUUUUUAAUGUUUGUUUAUUUUUGAGAGACAGACAGAGUUUGAGUGGGGGAGGGGCAGAGAGAGAGGGAGACACAGAAUCUGACACAGGAUCCAGGCUCUGAGCUGUCAGCACGGAUCCCCUUGCGGGGCUGCAACUUGGGAACCAUGAGAUCAUGACCCGAGCCAAAGUCCGACGCUUAACCGACUAAGCCACCCAGGCGCCCCUCAAUGUUAGGAUUUUUAAUAUUUCAGAUUUUUCUGUAUUUUGGGGGGAAGGGGUGGAGAGUGGACUCAACUCCCAUCUACCAGAAAAUACAGCAGAGAAAGGAGAAAAUAAACUAUUGGGAAAAGAAGAGCUGCGAGUAAGCUGGACAUGGACACAGCAUC